rnacentral:rRNA from 1 species
CGAAGUCUGGUGCCAGCAGCCGCGGUAAUUCCAGCUCCAAUAGCGUAUAUUAAAGUUGUUGCAGUUAAAAGCUCGUAGUUGAAUUUCGGGGUCAGUAGGUUGGUCGUGCCACCGGUACGUACUGGUCUCACUGAUUCCUCCUUCCUGAAGAACCGUAAUGCCAUUAAUUUGGUGUUGCGGGGAAACAGGACUGUUACUUUGAAAAAAUUAGAGUGUUUAAAGCAAGCUAACGCUUGAAUACAUUAGCAUGGAAUAAUGAAAUAGGACGAUCGAUCCUAUUUUGUUGGUUUCCAGGAUUGACGUAACUGAUUAAUAGGGAUAGUUGGGGGCAUUAGUAUUCAAUUGUCAGAGGUGAAAUUCUUGGAUUUAUUGAAGACUAACUACUGCGAAAGCAUUUGCCAAGGAUGUUUUCAUUAAUCAAGAACGAAAGUUAGGGGGAUCGAAGACGAUCAGAUACCGUCGUAGUCUUAACCAUAAACUAUGCCGACUAGGGAUCGGAUGAUGUUAAUUUUAUAAUGACUCAUUCGGCGCCUUACG